rnacentral:rRNA from 1 species
CCUACGGGAGGCAGCAGUGGGGAAUUUUGGACAAUGGGCGCAAGCCUGAUCCAGCAAUGCCGCGUGAGUGAAGAAGGCCUUCGGGUUGUAAAGCUCUUUUGUCAGGGAAGAAACGGUGGUUCCUAAUACGGACUACUAAUGACGGUACCUGAAGAAUAAGCACCGGCUAACUACGUGCCAGCAGCCGCGGUAAUACGUAGGGUGCAAGCGUUAAUCGGAAUUACUGGGCGUAAAGCGUGCGCAGGCGGUUAUAUAAGUCAGAUGUGAAAUCCCCGGGCUCAACCUGGGAACUGCAUUUGAGACUGUAUGGCUAGAGUGUGUCAGAGGGGGGUAGAAUUCCACGUGUAGCAGUGAAAUGCGUAGAUAUGUGGAGGAAUACCGAUGGCGAAGGCAGCCCCCUGGGAUAACACUGACGCUCAUGCACGAAAGCGUGGGGAGCAAACAGGAUUAGAUACCCUGGUAGUCCACGCCCUAAACGAUGUCUACUAGUUGUCGGGACUUAAUUGUCUUGGUAACGCAGCUAACGCGUGAAGUAGACCGCCUGGGGAGUACGGUCGCAAGAUUAAAACNCAAAUGAAUUGACGG